UUUUCUUUUUGAGAGGUUAACAACUGAGGGAGACGUGAAGUUGGUUCACUGCUCGGUGCCUGUAACUUAGAUACUGUGUAGAAAAUACUAAACAGACAGAUGUGCUCGUUUUUUAUCACUUGUAUGUAUUUGACACUUCUUAUUCUCCUCCUGUAAUACCUUGUGUUCUGCAUUCAGGGUGGCAGUGGCCAGAGGAUCCUGUCUGGCUACACAAAUAAGAUGCUCCAGAUGAUCAAUGGGAAAUGUGCUUUACAUUUUCCUUCAAGAACAAAUUGACACUACACCCCUUCUCUAAGCUGUGGGGCACCCAAAGAGUACGUCAACUCCAGAACUUUGGAGGCACGGGGCCCAGUGACGACCUAAAGCUUUGUGGGCUCACACUCCAAACCUCCAGACAAGAAUUCAACCAUCCUUAACCAGAUGUCAUUCUGUGGCCAGACCAUCAGCAGCAUUCUUGGCGACAUGCAUGGAGACAGGCAAGUUUUUAUAAAUGGA